ACUGCCGGCCUCCGCGCUACCCGGCCGCAGCGCGCGAGUCACAUGGAGGCUCCUGAGGAGCCCGCGCCAGUGCGCGGAGGCCCGGAGGCCACCCUUGAGGUCCAUGGGUCGCGCUGCCUGCGGCUGUCCGCCUUCCGAGAAGAGCUGCGGGCGCUCUUGGUCCUGGCUGGCCCCGCGGUGAGUAAGGUGGCCUCGGUGGCAGGCCGGUACCGGCGGGCUGGGGACCUGGUGAUUUCUGCCUCCGCGGGUGACUUUGGCGGGGUUUGGGGACCGAGCGAGCUGUCCGCCGGCGGGCUCCGGGGAGCAUCCUGCCAGGAGCCGGGCGGGCACCCCAGCUCCUCUGCCUGCGUCCCGGCCGCUUUCCGCUCCGCACCACCCGACUGGGGGCCCCGCGGGGCACUGCGGGAACGGCUGGUACGCGCCCGGGCGCACGUUGGCUUGGAGAGGCCGGCGGCUCCAGCCUCCUGCGCCAGGAGACAUCGGAGAGCUGGGACCUUUGCGCCUAACGGGGCUCUACCAGGUCCAGGCUGCAUUUGCAUCCGGGGGUGCCUUCUCUGGGAGCUGAUUCCGGCCAAUAAAGCGCAAGUUGCCUGAACUUCAAAACACAAGGGAACUUGUUUCUUUGAAAAGCAGCGGUAAAAAGUUCGGGAGCUCUGCGAUCUAAAUAAUCCCGAGGCACGGAGGAGGGGGUGCGUGGUCUGACGUGGACUCAGAGCUGCGAAAUGAUUUCUUCAGAAUUCCGUCAACCUCUACCGAGGAAACCAGAGGCAUCCUGUACCACCCCCUCCCCACCAGUAAUUAUGUAUGUGAAAGAAAAAAGGGGUUUUAAUGUGGUUCUUUGUGGGGUCGAGGUGUUCUUAUCUGUGGGAUUCUUUUCUUUUUAAUCAUUAGGUUAGGGCUGUUUCUGCCUUGUCUCCUAAAAAUAAUGUGGUUUUUUAAAACCACAAAAACACAAUCCUAUCCACGUUCUCCUGCCAGCUUGGGUGGUUUUCAAACCGAGAGGGUAGGACGCGGCACAAGAAGCAACUGGUAUGCACUUAAGGCGUGAAUAAGCUUUUGACUUUGAGGCCCACAUUCUGCACCUGCGUGGGCUGAGGGGGGCCGCUGUGCCCCUGGAGUGGGGGCUCGGUAGUUUGUGGGAUAUUGUGGCACCCGCUGUGGUGUGCAGGACAGCAAGAGUAAUGCCGAGGUCAAAGCCAUGGAAUAAGAUCCAUCAGCCAUGCUUUCUCACAGACCAGAAAGAACUCAUGAUUUGGGGCCGGGCUCGGUGGUUCACGCCUGUAAUCCCAGCACUUUGGGAGGCUGAGGCAGAUGGAUCACUUGAGGUCAGGAGUUCGAGACCAGCCUGGCCAAUAUGGUGAAACUCCGUCUCUACUAAAAAUACAAAAAUUAGCCAGACGUGGUGGCGGGCGCCUGUAGUGCCAGCUACUCCAGAGGCUGAGGCACGAGAAUCACUUGAACCUGGGAAGUGGAGGUUACAGUGAGCCAGGAUGGUGCCACUGCACUCCAGCCUGAACAACAGAGUAAGACUUGGUCUCAAAAAACAAAACAAAACAAAAACACCUCAUGGCUGGGCGUGGUGGCUCACGUCUGUAAUCCCAGCACUUUGGGAGGCCAAGGCAGGCGGAUCACGAGGUCAAGAGAUUGAAACCAUCCUGGCUAACAUGGUGAAACCCCGUCUAUACUAAAAAUACAAAAAAUAAAAAAUAAAAA
rnacentral:sRNA from 1 species